GACGAACCGAGCGAACGUUGUUCGGAAUCACUGGGCUUAAAGGGCGCGUAGGCGGCUCCGCCAGUCUCGGGUGAAAUCUUUCGGCUUAACCGGAAAAGGGCCCGGGAUACUGCGGGGCUGGAGGGGGAUAGGGGCGGACGGAACUUCCGGUGGAGCGGUGAAAUGCGUUGAUAUCGGAAGGAACGCCGGUGGCGAAAGCGGUCCGCUGGGUCCCUACUGACGCUGAGGCGCGAAAGCCAGGGGAG
rnacentral:rRNA from 1 species